CAACCUCAUGGUUAUUAAUCGGAUUCAUUUCCACUGAGCCACAAUGGGAACUCCUGAUCUUUGUACUUAAAUAAAUGCAAAGAGGAAUAGAAGGAGAGAUGCUAGCAUACAAUGAGAAAAUCUGCCUCAUCUCUCAGAUCAGAGGAAUCAUGAAAUGUUGAUGGUAGUGGAGAAUUUACUUUAUACCAAUAACUACACUAUUUGGGUCCAUACAAUAUUGCCAUUUCCCCCACUCAUCUGGCUAUUACCCAAUUUAACUAGUUACAGCUUUAAUAUAUGAUUAAGCAAAUUAAUUUUCAACAACAAAUCACGCAGUUUAAGUGUAAUCCCACAUUAACUAAAACGAAGCAAAACAACAAUGUGGCGGGGGACAGAGGCUGUGGGUUGAGGGGCACAGUAGGCAGUAAAGGGCCUGAGCAGCACCAUUGGAGUCUGGGAGUGCUGGUAUGACUGGAUGUCUAGGAAGGGCCCUCUGGUGGAGAAUCUUAAGUGUCAGGUUGGGAAAGUUACACUUGAUCGGAAAAGAGUAUUGACAGUUCUUGAAUGGUGGGAAUGAUGUGGCAGAAAGAGGAGAGAGAGACAAGCAGUGGUGACAGAAUUGAAAUUUCUCUUCUUCAUGGUUAAUUAAAGCACUUAGUAAAGGCUCCAGAGUGGCUCACCUAAAGGAAUGCCUGAUGCAUGGUGUAUUUCUACAUGAUGUUUCACAGAUAACUUGCUACACUUGCUAAUUUGACCCUUUUGCCUCAGAGGGAGGCUAAGGGGUUGAAUCAACCAUCUCAGCUUGUCCCUUUGGGGGCAUCCACAGCUAAAGCUAGUAGGUGGAAGUCACCCUAUAGAUUGUUUAUUUGUGCUAUUUCAUUUUCAUAUGUGGCAGUUGAGAUAUAGAGAUUGACAGAGCUGUUCAAGGCUCCAGCUCACUUCCUUACUCCUAUUCAGUUCUCUAGUAGAAGGACACCAAUUCAGUCCUGGGAUCUCUGUUUUUCUCUCUUCAAUACUACUUCUUUUGUCAUUUUGGGUAACUUCAGUUAUGAGGACAAUGUGUCCAAUACUUGUCAGGCCCUUGACCUCCAUCUUCUCCCAUGAACUUGUCUCCUCACCUCACCUUAGAUUCCUUGGUCCAUCAUGGAUAUAAAUUCAUCUGCUUAAACUCUCUUCUGUUGUCUUAUCACAAACUGACAAGUUAUAUGUGAUUUGUGGAUUUCUAUCUCUGCCUCUGGACUACAAACACCUUGAGGACAGGGCCCUUUUUUUUUUUCUUUGCUCCCUGCUGUGUCCUGAGUGCCUAAGGCAUGGUUGGCACAUGGGAGGUGCUCAGGAAAUAACAGCUGAGUAAAUGAAUAAAUAAAUCAGUGAAAACAAAAGUUGCUUUCAGAGUGGUUAAAUUAUAUUUUGCUCUAGAGAGUUUGGCACAUGGAUCUGUUUGGCUUAUUUUUAAUACUAAAUGUUUUUUUACUUUUCUUCAUUUCUCCCCUCCCACAGAACAAAGAGCCCCAUUCUGUGGAGCAUUCCUUGUAUCUCCUUCUUGAGAAGCUGAUUUCAGGGAAUCCUGAGAUCUCUGUUCUUGCUCCUGAGUAUGCAGAGGAUAUCAGUAAGCCAGUGCAUGACUGUUGGUCUUGAUCACUACAGCUGAUUUAGGAGGUGCAGGAUAAACAAUCCAUCUUAAAGACCACCAUUUGAAGAAGUAAAGAUUUUAUGCAAGAUGAAUCCCAGCAAAAUUGUCCGGUGGAUGUGAUGAUGUUACUGCUUUUCCAGCCUCAUCUCAUUCAGGAACCUCCAGCAUUCUGGAUUGCCACUCUGGGGAGCCAUUUGCAGAUUAUACUAUUUCAAGGUUCUGAGAUUUUGUCAGGUGUCUCUAAAGUAAGUCAGCUUUUUAAAGACAGGUCAUUCCUCUUUGAGCCAGGAAAUCCAUUUUGUUUACAUUGAACUAAACACUUGAUCUUUAUGAGUUUUCCAUAUUUUUGGAAGCCUCACUGACUCUUCUAAGCUACUGGGCUGCUACCCCAUAAGUACCCUUCUCACUGCAUAAAUUGUCUUGUGGAUCAAAGAAUUAACAUUUGGUAUAUCAUUUCAUUAUUUCUGGCUACCCUCAAUGGCCUUGACUCAUAGUCCCUACUCUUGGUGCGAAAGGCACAUAUGAGAAAAUGACUCAAACACGGUUGGUUGCCCCAGACUGUUUGUCUUGUCUGUCUUGAAACUGAGAAUGAGAGAAUAAGGCUAUUUCAGAAAAACAAAGAAAGCAAUGCUACUUGAGUGUAAGAAGCAUUGACCAAUAACUGCCAAGAGGCAAUCUGUUCACAUUGUCUAAAUAACUUAAGCUUGGUGAUUUUUGCUCUCAAAGACCCAUUCCUGGAAGUUUUUUUGGACGUCAUGCCCUACAUGAACUUUUUAAAAUGCAAGGGAAAGUUUAGGUAAAGAUUCAGAGGGCAGGGUUCUGCCAGCGGCUUUAAAAAAUCAGUCUGCUUCAGUUCACUCAGGUUUGCCACUGUUUUCAGACAUGGUGGUAUCUGGGAUGCCCAAGGCCCAUGGGAUCCUCCACUCUUGGGUAAGAGCAAGCACAGCCCUGUACCUGGUGGCCACGUGCAAGACCUGUGAGAUUCUACACAAGCCCAGAUUCCAGUGGAAAAUCUAUGCUGGGAUCCACUCAGUCUGAUGAAUUCUCAUCUACGGAUACACUCGUGGAACCAGUACUCAGAUGAAGAUGGAGUUCCAGCAUACUAAGACUCAGUCACACUCCUCCCCCAUCCUGAUUCCCUGAGCUGUCAAUACCAUUGACCCCUGCUCCAGAUGAUUUGAUUAGGAAGACGUGGUAUAUAUACACAAUGGAAUACUACUCAGCC